CUCUCUCUCUCUCUGAUGUCAACCUCGGUUGCCUUUUAUUUUCAAAUCUGCAAUGGCCUGAAGAAUGAGGCAAUCCUUGGAAGCAGCACGUACAUGUGAUCCCCCCUCUCACUCUGAUUCCAAGGUUAUGUUGCUGAUGGUAGGUGUCACUCUGGAUUGCAGAAAACAUGAUAAGAGCAUGGAGAUGGAUUGCUGCAUAUAUAUGCUUCCCACACUACCAUUUUCUUGAUCAUGUGUGUAGAGUUGAACUACUCAUUUCAUAUAUCCUUAAUUCUUUUUCCUUUUAAUCUCCAUAUGACAUAGAAGGUUCUGGUUGCUCUAUUAACAUGAUCGGAUUUUUGUGUGUGUUUUGCAGAAAACAUGAUAAGAGCAUGGAUGGAUUGCUGCAAAUUCAUGUUGUUGUUGCGGGAUCAUGCCGGCCCUCCCUUGUGCUAGCCAGCCAUCAGGAGCGACUGCGUUUGGUUCGUGCGGACGCGGCUGUGGCUCGCUGUGGUGCUCCUCUCAUGUCGCCUCUUCUUCCUCGCGGGCUUCUUUGGCUCCCUCCUCUUCACCCAGGAUACGCAGGGGGAGGAGGACAUGGAGCGGCCACUGCCAAGGGAACGGCUGCUCUAUUUACCCUUAUUGUCGGUUUCACUUGCCUAGCCUAGGUAUGUUGAGAU